AACAUCUACAUUAUCCGUUCUGCCUUUUUGUCGGAUUCACUUAUUCUGUUUGGUUCUUCUUUUUUUCCCAACAGCGCACCCAAAAUGCCAAGCAAGAGGAAGAAGAACAAGCGUCGCAUGAGGAGGGUGCAAGCCCAAAGGAGAGCACUGGAGGAGCAGCAUGCAGCAAAUCCACCAAUAAAAACCAGCUCAGGGACUGCAGUUAGGCCACCUCCUAUAACAAAUCUCAAAAAAGCAGCUAAACCCACAGCUAAAACUGCACCGCCCAAUCGUGAAAACCUUCCACAGGCUGUUCCCAUCUCUAUCCCCUUAGUGGAACCUCAAAAAGAGGAACCAGAGCCUGUUGAGAAAGAAGAUACCGCAGAUGUCCAUGAUGAGAUAGCUACAGUAGAGUCUGGUGGUGUGCUGUUGGAACAAGCUUCCUGUGAGUUGGAUGUGGAAUCCAGAGUGGGGGAUGAAGUUGUAGAUCCAGCACAUGUAGGUAAAGAUGGACCAGUUGAAAGUAGUCCUCCAGUGAAGCCCUCUACAGUUGAAGAUGAUCUGGCACAGGAAGCUGAAUCUUCUGUUUCUGAAUCAGAAGCUGUCUUUGAGGUUGCAGCCCCAGAAGAAGCUCCAGCAGAGGUUGCUUCUGAAGCUGAAAAUCAGACAGAACGCAAUGAAAUAAUACAAAAAGAGACAGAUCAUACAUAUGAAAUCUGUGAGGCAGACAGUGAAAAAGCUGAAACCCUGGCAGAAGAAGACGCUGAGGCUAAGCUGGAACUGGAGGGGGCCAUCACUGAAGAAGUCAGCAUAUCAGAGUCUGCAAAAGAAGCAGCUGAAGAUAGAGAGAUAGAAGAUCUUACCAGUGACAAAUCUCCUGCUGAAGAUACUGGAUCAGUGGAGGAGGCGGUCAUAGAAACAGUGGAGGCUGAAAAUGGGGUAGAGGUUGGUCCGUUGGAGCCGCCUGAGGAGGGAGAGGAGAAAGUGGAAGAUGUGGCUGAAGAAGACUUGGCUGCACUCAGUGUUGAGCCUGUUACAGCAGCAGAGGAUGUUCCCGUAUCAUCAUUGGAAAUCCCAACAGUGCUGAAUGCUAUAACUGAAAGUCCAAUGGAGGAAGCUGAUCUCCCUUUUGUUGAAGCCAAAGAGGAAGCUGCUGACCUGCCGGUCCAUGAAUCUGUUGUCACUGAAUCUGUCUCUGCAGUGAAUGAUGCUGUUUCAUCCUCUCCACUUGUCCAGCUGGAAACUGAGAGAACAGGGGACACAUUUACCACCCAAAUAGAGUCCUCUGAUUCUGCUACUGCUGCUGCUGCACAUGCUGAGGCUCCUGAUGCUCCUACAGAGGAGAAUGCCGCAGACCAGUCGUGUUUAGAUGUGUUGACAGACGAAGUGAAAUCAGGAGAUUUCCCAUGUCAGAUACAGAUUCCUGUGGAGGCUAAACAACUCAAUGCAGUGGAACUUUCUGUGGAAAUAGCACAGAAUGGAAACAUUGUUCCUGAGGUCCCCAUUGAGGGUUAGAGCCUAGGACCACAGCUCAGAAGACCCUUUUCUAUGUGUAAGACACUCAAAGUUCCUGUUGAAGAACUCAAAGCUUCCCAGGGAAUUUACCAGACCUUUUCAUUUUUCAAGGCUUAGGGCAAAACGACAGGAAAUCGAAGUGGGCAUCCACACUUUGAAGUGCCUUUUCCUGUCCUCUGCUCUGCUGGAACAUUAAACCAGAUGUGACUAUGGAGAAACGGCUGCUCUCACGACAGCGGCUAAGACUUUAAAACAAGCCUUUUUUUUUUGGCUCUUUUUAAUAUUUUCCUACACAAUAAACCCCAUGUUCAAUAAGUUUGACUAAAGUAGUUCAGGAAAAGGUGCUAAAGACACGACGAUUCAGCAACAACACAAAUCUUCUUUUAUCUUCCUAGAAUAUCUGUCUCCAAAGUGCACACACAAAUCUUUUUUAGUAGACAUAACUCUGGAAAAUGGGUCUGUAUUUUAAAUUAGAUUUUUGUCUGUUAGACAGCAAGGUCUUGUGUUGUUUUUCGGCAUUUGUUUAAGCGUUACAUAUUUAGCUCGCCACUCUUUUUAGAAAAGGUACAAACCUCAGAUAACUUUUAAAAGGCAGUUCAGGGGUUCUGUUUUGGAGUGAAGUACUAUCUAAAAGGUUGUAACUAGCUAAUAAUUUAAAUGCUGUGGGCUAGGUGUUGAUUUUGGCAUCCAGGAAAUCUGGUCUUCAGGCCUAAAACUAAUAUUGUAAAACCAAAGCUGACUUUUAUUAUCUUAAAAUGAUCCCCUCUUGAAAAUAUAGAGGUUAAUUAAAAACAUAACUGUCAUGCAUUAUUGUCAAAGGACUAAUGAAAAAAAAUUCUCUCUCACCCAGUACUGUAUAACCUUAAACCCCACACUGAUCGCCGGGCGCCGCACUAUGGCAGCCCACUGCUCCCCAAGAGGAUGGGUUAAAUGCAGAGUGUGAAUUUCCCCAUUGUGGGACAAUAAAGGGAUUUAAAUUUUUAUUUUUUUUUUUUAUCGUAGAUAUUAUUUUGCUGCUGUGCAUUUCAUUUUAUCUUCAAACACAUUUUAUGAUAACUGGACAGCACCGCUGCUGUUGUAAAAUAAGGUGACCAGAUUUUUUGAAAUCCAUACCAGGGACAUUUCCAGCUAACAAUAAAUGCAUAUCAUGAAAAUUGAAAUAGGAAACGGAGGACAGUGAUGCUUUCAUCCAUUUUUGCAUAUUAAUUCAAUAAUUAAACAACAAAAAUCAAGUGUAAAAUCCAGGAAUAUGACUCUCCUAUUUCCUAAGGUUAAUAAGAUUAACCAAUCAACAGUGUUUAUUAGUUCCACCUGCUCAUUCCGUCUUCUUCCCUCUCCUUCUUCUUUUCUUUCUAGCUGACUUCUACCUGCUUUCCUUUAUACUAUUCUAAGUAGAUUUUUCUCCCUUCUCUUCAACUGUUCUUUCCAUCUGUGUCUCUUUUUUCCUCCGCUUUCAUUUAAUCUUCUGUCUUCUUCUCUUCUUCCUCUCCUCUUCUAUCAAUCUUACACUGAUCUAAAACAGAAACAUCAGUUUCUGCAUGCUUGUACUCUCUUUCUACUGUAUUAAUUGUCUACACACAACAUUUCCCCUGUCAUUCAUUACAAGGUUAAAUUCGGGG